rnacentral:tRNA from 1 species
GGAGGUAUAGCUCAGUGGUAGAGCGUGUGCUUAGUAUGCACGAGGUCCUGGGUUCAGCACCUCCA